rnacentral:tRNA from 1 species
AGGGGUGUAGCGCAGUUGGUAGCGCACUUGGUUUGGGACCAAGGGGUCGCAGGUUCGAAUCCUGUCACCCCUA